rnacentral:rRNA from 1 species
AUGCCCGGCCUGCGGUUCGCGGACUUCGAGGCGCUCCACGCCGAGCUCGCCGGCGGAGGCGAGGAGGGCGAGGAGGCGGAGACGAGGGAGGCCUUCGCCGUGUUCGACGAGAACGGCGACGGAUACAUCUCCGCGGCGGAGCUGCAGGCCGUCCUGGCGUGGAUGGGGUUGCCGGAGGCGGCGUGCAUGGCGCGGGUGCGCGACAUGAUCGCCGCGCAUGACCGGGACAGCGAUGGCCGCGUCGACUUCCAUGAAUUCAAGGCCAUGAUGGCUGGCGAAGAACAGUGGUAUCCCCGUCCAUCAGAGUUCAAGUCUUAA